UGGGGAAUAUUGCACAAUGGAGGGAACUCUGAUGCAGCGACGCCGCGUGAGUGAUGAAGGAAUUCGUUUCGUAAAACUCUGUUCUAUGGGAAGAAAAGGACUGUACCAUAGGAGAAAGCUCCGGCUAAAUACGUGCCAGCAGCCGCGGUAAUACGUAUGGAGCGAGCGUUGUCCGGAAUUAUUGUGCGUAAAGGGUGCGCAGGCGGCUUUACAAGUUGGAUGUGAAAUAUUGUGGCUCAACCACAAACGUGCAUCCAAAACUGCAAAGCUUGAGUUAAGGAGAGGUAAGUGGAAUUCCUGGUGUAGCGGUGGAAUGCGUAGAUAUCAGGAGGAAUACCGGUGGCGAAGGCGACUUACUGGACUUAAACAGACGCUCAGGCACGAAAGCGUGGGGAGCAAACAGG
rnacentral:rRNA from 1 species